GUGACCACAAUUUAACGGCCGCGGUACCCUAACCGUGCGAAGGUAGCAUAAUCACUUGUUUCCUAAAUAGAGACUAGUAUCAACGGCAUCACGAAGACUACACUGUCUCCCCCCUAAAAUCAAUGAAACUAAUCUCCUCGUGAAGAAGCGAGGAUGAACAUAUAAGACGAGAAGACCCCAUGGAGCUUUAAACAAACUUCAAUUGCUUCCCCCCCCCCCACCAUAGAAAUUAAGCACUAUUGACUGUUAGUUUUAGGUUGGGGCGACCACGGAGUAAAACAAAACCUCCACAAUGAACGUAAAAAAAUUCUAAUAAAAGAACCACAAUUCUAUCAAUCAAAAAAUUGACAUAAAUUGACCCAAACACUUGAUCAAUGAACCAAGUUACCCUGGGGAUAACAGCGCAAUCCAUUUUGAGAGCUCCUAUCGACAAAUGGGU
rnacentral:rRNA from 1 species